AGAAGUUGGGUCAUUUUACUGUCAAGCCGUCAAGGGGUUCUCUUUGGACUUGACUCUGCUGCGAUUUGCCGCCAACACGCGAGUGAAGCCGUACCCCAAAAUGACAGUUAACCAAGAAUAGAAGCUGGAGAAUAUUACAUCGAUAUCGGUGAACAGAAAGAAAGCUACCGGUAAGGUGAUCAAGGACUUUCCGCUCGUUUGCCACAUCUCUUCAACAGGGCCCGAGAUAGAAAAAUAAACAGCUUGGUGCCAAGUACGAUAGGUAUCAAAACAGACGAAACAUCCGCUUGUUCAUCGGCCGUCUCGAUGCUCAGCAAUCGCUUCUUGUUGCUACGGCAGAAAGUAUCUGCUUGUUCCCAAGAAAGCUAUUUGUUUCCAAAGCCAAAAAUUUUGUUUUUUUGAAACAAUCAGAUUUAGUUGUCAUUUAACGUUUUACCUGCGUAUUGACGAAGCAAUAGCACCUGUCUUUUAUUCUUUUACAUUUGUGGCCUGCAAUGCUUUUCUCACAUGCUACGUACAAAAUGAAAAAAAAAUGUUUAGUUUCCUCCGGUUCAAUAAUAAUAUAAGAAAUUAACGCGAUUUUUACAUGCUCUUGCUGUUACUCCCUGCGAGUCCUCCUGUUCGCUAAUAUUCACUGCAAGCUGUUCACUCACUUGGGCUGCGUUCAAAACAUUCAAAUUAGGAAAUCGUACCGUAAAGUAGUUAACAGAAAAAUUUGAUUACCGUUAAAGAUGAGAACACCAAGGAUGCAGGCAACUAGGUUUGAUAAAUAAAAUGCUUGCAUUUUCUUUUUCUCAGAUGUUGACUGCUGCGAUGUGCAAUUUGAUCUGAUUCAUUCCUCAAUUUCACAGCCUUUAUAUAUGUGCAUGCGAAUAAGGUCAGAAUUGUGGGGGUCGCGAAUCGUGGUCAACAACCUUUGCCCUUCCGUGAAUGUACCAGGAUAUUAAUUUUUUACUUUGACUUCUAUUGGGAGGGUUUAAAAAUUGAUGGCUAUCAGGAAAAAAAAAAGGUUGACCUAGGGGAGUUUUUAAACCCCAGGUUAACAGCAAUACAUUUUUUUAUUGCUUUACCUUUCCGGGUUCAAAGACUCGUGGGGUAGGUUGUCAUCCAACGAUGAUUCAGCUGAAAUAUUUUUUUAUGUUUUUGUCAAUUUAAAGCGCAAACUACUGCACUUACAAGCGAUCUGUAAAAUUCAAAAAUAUCAAAGAGGGUAGGGUUUUCACCGUGUAAAGACCAUCGUUUCGUACGUUGAAACUUAACAUUUGCCGAGCAGUUAUAAGAGCUUCAAGGACUCAAACAAAGUGGCCUACUCCAAUUUAAAAGUUUGAGGGCAGUCAUCUGUGAAUCAAACCUUUUUAUCUCGCAAGUUUGGUGGCAUUUUGGGAUCAACUCCUCGAUUUCGUUAAUAUAAAUACAGAAGAAAAUGUCAAGGCCUCCGUGACAUUUCCUUAUACUUUCUGGCAAAUUCCAUGAUUUCUGAGGCAUUCAAUUAUAGAAGUGGCCUGAACUGGCCAACCAGUUCAGUUUGAUUGGCUCACCUAUUUUAUGUAACAAAUUAGUGCCUCACUGAAAAUUCAUCCGCUUCUGUUGCGAGUAAGCUUCUCAUUCAGCUUCGCAGGCAAUCAAACAGGUCCAAUGAGUGAAACAGAAUUUCUUCCAUUUCUUGAAAACUUUAUCAGCGACAUCCGCUCUCGGUACGAACCCUAACUCGGUAGCAUUCACAACUUUCUGUAAAGAUACUUCUCUAAUGAUUCUUCAAAUGAAAGGCUUUUUCGCCAUACAUCUGUUUUAACCUUACAUUCUCUCGAUUUAUUCAAAAAAAGGCAAUCUUUUUACAUUCAUUAAACGUGCCUCUGUUUUUUUCAUGAAACAUUUUGCCUUCCGCUCCUCCUACAUCUUUCAACCAUCGGCUUUUAGCGUAGUUUUAUUUUAUUGAUAAGUUAAUAGGUUGGGUUCCCUCGUUGCAUUGUAAUUGCUUAGUCGUGCCCAAGAUACCAAGCUGUGCUUUCAGCAAGCCUAAUCGAUUCGCAAUCGAUCGUCUCUCCGGAAUGUGAACCUUGGAGAACGAGAUUUGCCAGCCCUACACCGCUCUCGACUUCCUAGCACGUUUGGGAGAGACUCGUACCGAAUUAUUUGCUACGUAAUUUGUCUUUUCGUUGGAUACCAUCAAGAGCGUUCAGAAACUUGAUGGUUUCUUUUUAUUUCAAGAGCGCAUCUGAAUAAUUGUAUACACUGCCAUUAGCUAACUGCGCCAAGUGACGCGUAUCGACAGGCUUGUUGAAUGACUUUUUCUGUUAUCUUUUUAUCAUUUAAAGGGUCGGAAUUUCUAUUUUAGUCGUACUGCUUACAUAGUUUACCGAUUUUCUAUGGUAUUUAAAGUUGACAACAAUGCCACCCUGUUUUUGUCUAGGAUUCGAUCAAGCGUUCCCUUUAAAUGGUUUCUGUGCUUGUUUACAUUUUCAUGCGUCUUAAAAUUUCUACGUUGUCUACGUGGUCUUGGACACGAAAUUGGUAGUUAAAUUGAUGGCACAUGUUUCCAAAGGGGUUGAUCGUUUGGAAGAAACGAGUUUCUUUUCAAUAAUUCCCUUUUUAAGUCAUCUAAAAGCGCCACCCAAACUGGUUUUCUGUCUCUUUCAAGGGCGAAUUGUAUACUUUCUGUUGGCUAUUUGAAACUGUCAGUUCAAAACUAUCAAUUUCUACGUGACUGUCUUUCGAUUAAAAUGUAAAUGUUUUAUCUUUCUAGUCUCGUUAAAAAUGGAAUUGUUCUAAAAGUUUAUUGAUCAAAUUCAUAAGAAUAUUAUGUGGAUCUACGAAGUGUCUAUUAUCAUUUCAAGCUUAGGGUCUUACGAAGUUCCCGGGAAACACUUGCGCCGAUUGCCAAGACGCAGCAUGCGCUCGUUGAUUGUUUCUGCAGCUAUUUCAUUCAAAUUGUCUUCUCUUGGGAUGGUAGAAUAAUGUUGCGAAUGGUAUUCACAUUGCGCAAUAUCUUUAGCGUAUCGACGAGGUGUGAAAGGCAGAGCCACUUUGCCAUUUAAAGGUUUCUUGUUAUUGGCUUCAUUGGGGAAAAGAAACCAACGCAGCUUGUUUGCCUUGAGGUUGUUAUCGAAAUGAAGUUGCUGUUCUGUUUUAUUUAUCAUGCAGUCCUCUUCCAUGGCUAACCGAAAAAUAUCGUUUCCUUUUCGAAGGUAAUCCUCGUAGUUGAUUGGCGUUUCAGUUGCUACGUCAGAUUCGUCGAUGUAGUUCACCGGUUUGCAAAUGGCGCUGAAGUCAAAUUCGGCUAAAAGUUUUCGAUUGGCGCUUGGCAACUGAAAAAUCAAUCGUUUCGUAAUAGAUUUGACAUUUAAAUGAUAAAUAUAUAUUUAUUAUGCUCACUGAUUUCGUGUCGUGAUGAUGCCAUUCUCCGGUAUCAAUAUUCGUUCGAUAAUAAGGCAACAUUGUCCAUCCGUGUUUGGCUAUUGCCACAACAGCCUUAAUGAUGUAAUCAAUUUCCGCAUCGGGGGCAAAGUAGGGUAGAUUUAAUCGCGUAAAGCCCGGCCUCAGGAUAUCGUAAUAAUGACCAUCUUCAGCGUCGACAAUCAUUUCUUGAAAUUGGUCAGUAAGAGCUUCAUCCAUUCCGAGCAAAUCUUGGGCGUACGGUCCAGCACAAGCGCAACCACCUCGAGCCUGAAUGCCAUAAAUAUCGUUGAGCAAUGCGCAAACAAAGUUGUGAUGUAAAUAAUAGCCGGUUCCCAAAUGACGGAUGACGAAAGAGAAAAGAGCCAAUCGUGGGGCUGUUGUGCUUCCAAGGAGAAUCAGUUCAGGAAUCUGUUGCCAUUCUGAAUAGGCAAGUUUCGCAAGAUUUUCUUCUCUCGCCAUAAUCCACUCAGCUGUGACCCUUUCCUUUAAUUUCAUUACUAGGCCGGCCCUGAUGUUUUCCACGAUAGCCGGAGUGCCGCCUUCUUCACGCAUUUCGAUAUCACGCGUGUAAACGUGGCUGUUUCGGUCGACAAAGAGGACUGUCCCGCCGCCGGCUCCGUGGGGUACGUGAUUCUUAAGAAGAGCCUUUUUGACAACCAGAAUACCAGGCGUUUGAACACCGCCGACAAAUUUGUGCAUCGAAAAGUAAAUGGCGUCCUUGUGAGCUACGCCUGAUGGAUAAGCUGCAGAAGGUAAAAGAUUCGAGUGAUGAUCAGUCGCACCGACGAAGAUAAUCGGACGUUCAGCCAGAUGGAGGCUACCUGCUAACUUGUGAACCGCACCUGUGCAACCACUGCCGACAAAUAUUACGGCGUCAUCUUCGGAAGCUCCAACUGCGUGUCUUAGGAUUUCUCUAGCCUCAUCCCGGAAGAGUGUCGUUUUUACCGAAGUAAUGGAAGUCGUCGUCCGUGUGGUGGGGGUUGGACUUACGGGGAGCAACGUUGUACUUUGUCGACUGUUUAAAGCAAACAGGUAUCUAUUAACCUACCUUCGAAUUUCCAUUUGGCGCCCUGCCCGGAUACAUUUCUACCAAGUACGCCGCACGACGACGAGGAGGAAGCAUACCUUCAUCUACACAAAAAUGGAUCGACAACUGUUGCAUUCUAAAGAAACGAAAUGUUUGAUGAAACAAAAUGACAAUUUAGAAUAUUCGUGCUCAGACAGAUUUCAAACUAAAAUUAUACAAAGUUGAGUAUUGGCGAAUUUAAUUGAAAUUAUAUAAACAAGAGAAUUGAUACAAAUUCCGUACCUGACAAGCGUAGAAUCCGACGAUGCUUAUGGAGCAGCAGAACACGUGCAGUUGAAGAUGGUUGUACGAAUGUGAAACCGUGUGGCUGGCUACCGCCUUAAAUACACGCAGACACGUGCCACAUCCUGGCUUUCCCGGAAGAAAAGUGUAGGGUAGAGGAACAUAAUUCCAAAGAUCGAUAGGUUGAAGGGCAAAUUUUUUUAUUUCCAAUUGAGCUCGGGGAUACGGCCAUUCCCCCACGAUUGAUCCAAUGUCUUACAGUGGACCUAGAAAAGGUGAAUAACCUCGGGCAAUUCACACAAAAAAUAGAAUCUAAACCACGUUUUACAUCCUCAAGUUCAGUAGCUCGUUCACAUGCACGACAUGCACUUGUGUAUAUUUGUCGCUUCUUAUUCCGGUGUAGUGAUUCACACAAUUUUGUUCGCACUGAAUAUAGUUUUCGUUUACAAGCUGGAUAUAUUUUGCAAUUUGUAGAAUCGCCAAUCACUUACUAGAAACGCACUGCAUCAGCACUUGGUUUUGCCUCUGCACUAGUUUUGUUUGGUUGCAUAAGCUAAGACCGCGGCUAAGACGUAUUUUACUGGGUAGAAUAAGUCUAGAUGAAAUAGAAAAACCUAGAUUAAGUUAAGGAUAAGUAAGUCUAAGUUUAAAUUAAGAACAGUGCUACUUCAAGGAAGCCGUAAUGCACCUGACUCGUUAUUUUUGCACAGCAGUACAUCGGCCAUUUCCCUUCACUCUUAAAUGCUUUGUUUUACCUGUAGUCUUCGUUCGCAAACCAUUUCCAUGCAAUUCUAUGUUUCUAUACUUUCACGCAAUUUGCCAAUUGUCAAUCCCAAGAACCUCCCGACUGUUAACUAACAAAUCUAUUUUUGUUUUCAGGGACGUUGAAAUUAAAUGUAAUUGUAAUUUCUGAACAGGCUGUUUAUUACAAUAAUUUAAACGCUAUUUUUUCCCCUUCUCUUUUCUGCUCUAUCAGGAGGCAGCCAAAGAGGAUACUGAACAUCGUGGAUCGUCGCUGAAGGAACUGGAUCAACGCCAAGGAUAUGCCAGGUAUUUAUCUUAAAAAUUGAAGUAUCUAAACAUGUUUGUGUUUUAUGUAUUUAGGAGGAUCUACAUCACCACUUAUGGAGACCGCUGGACGUUAAGGAUCGCUGUCGGGGUCACCAGAAUCAUCGCCAAUAACUUGAAGAUAGGCCCACGACACCAACGAGGAUCAUUGGCGGGGUUACCAGAAUUAUCGCCAAGGAUUGUAAGGGAUUAAUUUUAAAAUUUAAAUGUCUAAUCAGGUUUUUUUUUUUGUUUAUAAGGGUUCACAACACCUCCGAGGGAGACUGCUGGACGCCGAGGAUCGCCGUCAGGGCCACCAGAAUUAUCGUUAAGGAUUUAAAGCUAUUAAUUUUAAAAUUUCUAAUUGUGCUUAUCUAGGAAAAAAAGAGACUGUCUUGCUAACAAGGACUUCAUCUGCACUCAGAUCAUUCUGAAGCAGACCAGUGUCAAUUUUUUGGAGAAAGACAUGCACAGUCUUAAAUUGAAAUUUUUCAAGUUGGCAUAAUUUUUUAUUGUUCCAUUCGGCCUAUUAAGCGUGGAAAAUCGGGAAGGAAAUGCUAGUUAAUUACUCGUCGUUAUACAGAAUCGUGAUUGGUGUUGACCAACACGAGGGAUCCUAUCUUUAAAUUGGCAAACAUGAUUGAGCCAUGUAUAACACAACAGUGAUGAAAGAGAAUGAAUCAGACAGACGCACGACGAUGCUAAAUGCCAUCCUUUACCUUUUGCUGAGUCUCUUUGAUAACAAACAAUACGAUCUCACUCACCGACUUUCUGCAGGAGAAGGUUGCCGAUGAAAUUCCCAAUACAAGGAACUUCUGCGAUUGUUUGUCAUUGCCGAGCAAAUCAACUGGGGCAAGCUGUGCCAACAGUACCAACUAGUACUUCGAGCGGGAGACAACUCGACGCCAGCAACGGGAGUCUUUACCAUUGGCUUAUUCACUAAAUCACAUCUGUGGUUGAGAAAAAAUAGAUAAGCCAUUUAUUAUUUUAUAGGUACUGAAAAAGGUGAAGAAAGCUGAAAGGUGUGGUUUUGAUUAUAAUAUUCUCAUCAUGGCCAAAUAUUACACCCGUGUGAUGAUGCAAAGGAUGGCUGCUCUCCUAAUAAACUGUAACAUUGUCCGACGGGGCCAACCCAGUCUGUAAAAAAAAACUAACCCGAUUUUUCAAACACUUUUUAGAAGAUUGGUGUGGCGGCUCGAUCUCGGAUGUUCUAGUGAUACCGAUUCAAAGGUUAAAGAGAAAGUUUUUGUAUUUUUAGAUAUUUGUCCGCGUUUCGC